rnacentral:rRNA from 1 species
GAUGAACGCUGGCGGCGUGCCUAAUACAUGCAAGUCGAGCGAACAGACGAGGAGCUUGCUCCUCUGACGUUAGCGGCGGACGGGUGAGUAACACGUGGAUAACCUACCUAUAAGACUGGGAUAACUUCGGGAAACCGGAGCUAAUACCGGAUAAUAUAUUGAACCGCAUGGUUCAAUAGUGAAAGACGGUUUUGCUGUCACUUAUAGAUGGAUCCGCGCCGCAUUAGCUAGUUGGUAAGGUAACGGCUUACCAAGGCAACGAUGCGUAGCCGACCUGAGAGGGUGAUCGGCCACACUGGAACUGAGACACGGUCCAGACUCCUACGGGAGGCAGCAGUAGGGAAUCUUCCGCAAUGGGCGAAAGCCUGACGGAGCAACGCCGCGUGAAUGAUGAAGGUCUUCGGAUCGUAAAACUCUGUUAUUAGGGAAGAACAAAUGUGUAAGUAACUAUGCACGUCUUGACGGUACCUAACCAGAAAGCCACGGCUAACUACG